GUGGGGAAUAUUGGACAAUGGGCGCAAGCCUGAUCCAGCCAUGCCGCGUGAGUGAUGAAGGCCCUAGGGUUGUAAAGCUCUUUCACCGAUGAAGAUAAUGACGGUAGUCGGAGAAGAAGCCCCGGCUAACUUCGUGCCAGCAGCCGCGGUAAUACGAAGGGGGCUAGCGUUGUUCGGAAUUACUGGGCGUAAAGCGCACGUAGGCGGAUAUUUAAGUCAGGGGUGAAAUCCCAGAGCUCAACUCUGGAACUGCCUUUGAUACUGGGUAUCUCGAGUAUGGAAGAGGUGAGUGGAAUUCCGAGUGUAGAGGUGAAAUUCGUAGAUAUUCGGAGGAACACCAGUGGCGAAGGCGGCUCACUGGUCCGGUACUGACGCUGAGGUGCGAAAGCGUGGGGAGCAAACAGGAUUAGAAACCCUUGUAGUCC
rnacentral:rRNA from 1 species